CCGCCGCCGCACCAGAUAUAAAUUAACCUCAUGCUUGCAAUCAGCCCACUCACACCAAGCGUCAGGACAGACAGAGACUUCUCACAAACGAGGACAAGACCAAAUCAGGCAUCAUGGUAAAAGUUGGUAUCAACGGAUUUGGCCGCAUUGGGCGUCUGGUGACCCGUGCAGUCA